GACGAACGCUGGCGGCGUGCCUAAUACAUGCAAGUCGAACGAUGAAGAGAGGAGCUUGCUCUUCUUGGAUGAGUUGCGAACGGGUGAGUAACGCGUAGGUAACCUGCCUUGUAGCGGGGGAUAACUAUUGGAAACGAUAGCUAAUACCGCAUAACAAUGGAUGACACAUGUCAUUUAUUUGAAAGGGGCAAUUGCUCCACUACAAGAAGGACCUGCGUUGUAUUAGCUAGUAGGUGAGGUAAUGGCUCACCUAGGCGACGAUACAUAGCCGACCUUGAGGGGGUGUCGGCCAACCUGGGACGGAGACACGGCCCAGACUCCUAACGGGGGCAGCAGUAGGGAAUCUUCGGCAAUGGGGGCAACCCUGACCGAGCAACGCCGCGGGAGUGAAGAAGGGUUUCGGAUCGUAAAGCUCUGUUGUAAGUCAAGAACGGGUGUGAGAGUGGAAAGUUCACACUGUGACGGUAGCUUACCAGAAAGGGACGGCUAACUACGUG
rnacentral:rRNA from 1 species